rnacentral:snRNA from 1 species
AUUGCUUCUCGGCCUUUUGGCUAAUAUCAAGUGUAGUAUCUGUUCUUAUCAGUAUGCUAGUCUUUAGGUCACCUUCUUUUUAUUCAGUCUAGGACUCCACACUAU